rnacentral:sRNA from 12 species
UCAGUGGUUCCCGAGUUAGAGCUUAACGGGAUAAAUCCACCGCCGGAUACAAUCGAAGAGG